UAGGGCAGUGAUGACGUCAGCACGCUGCUGUAACCAACGUUGCUGAUAUCUGGUUUGCAAGUUCGGUAGCUGAGCCGCUGUGCUAACACGUGGGAGAGAUUUACAAGAGAUGUGUGUUUUCCUUAGAAGUGUGCGUCAAUGAUAAGAAACCACACACACCCUCACCCAGACGCACCGAAACACACAUUUAUGCCCAUCCAUGUUCAAUUGGAUCAAGAUCUGUAAUACAGUUUGGAAUACAGAACAGUUAAAGG